rnacentral:rRNA from 1 species
CCUACGGGGGGCAGCAGUGGGGAAUAUUGGACAAUGGGGGAAACCCUGAUCCAGCCAUGCCGCGUGUGUGAAGAAGGCCUUAUGGUUGUAAAGCACUUUAAGCGAGGAGGAGGCUACUGAGACUAAUACUCUUGGAUAGUGGACGUUACUCGCAGAAUAAGCACCGGCUAACUCUGUGCCAGCAGCCGCGGUAAUACAGAGGGUGCGAGCGUUAAUCGGAUUUACUGGGCGUAAAGCGUGCGUAGGCGGCUUUUUAAGUCGGAUGUGAAAUCCCCGAGCUUAACUUGGGAAUUGCAUUCGAUACUGGGAAGCUAGAGUAUGGGAGAGGAUGGUAGAAUUCCAGGUGUAGCGGUGAAAUGCGUAGAGAUCUGGAGGAAUACCGAUGGCGAAGGCAGCCAUCUGGCCUAAUACUGACGCUGAGGUACGAAAGCAUGGGGAG